UGCAGUCGAGCGGAACGAUCCUAGCUUGCUAGGAGGCGUCGAGCGGCGGACGGGUGAGUAAUGCAUGGGAAUCUGCCCGAUAGUGGGGGACAACCUGGGGAAACUCAGGCUAAUACCGCAUACGUCCUACGGGAGAAAGCAGGGGAUCUUCGGACCUUGCGCUAUCGGAUGAGCCCAUGUCGGAUUAGCUUGUUGGUGAGGUAACGGCUCACCAAGGCGACGAUCCGUAGCUGGUCUGAGAGGAUGAUCAGCCACACUGGGACUGAGACACGGCCCAGACUCCUACGGGAGGCAGCAGUGGGGAAUAUUGGACAAUGGGCGAAAGCCUGAUCCAGCCAUGCCGCGUGUGUGAAGAAGGCCUUCGGGUUGUAAAGCACUUUCAGCGAGGAAGAACGCUUGUGGGUUAAUACCCCGCAAGAAAGACAUCACUCGCAGAAGAAGCACCGGCUAACUCCGUGCCCAGCAGCCGCGGUAAUACGGGAGGGUGCAUGCGUUAAUCGGAAUUACUGGGCGUAGAGCGCGCGUAUUGUGG
rnacentral:rRNA from 1 species